rnacentral:misc_RNA from 1 species
UGUGAUGGUGCAUUAUCAUGAAGCAAAAUUACUUUGUGUUGCCUUUUUUGAUAUUCUGAUCUUUCCCAUGGCUUUCAAACGUAUGGAGACGGCUUCUCGUUUCACGUUUAAUUGAUCAACGAGUUAUUGUUGCGUUUGAGCGUCAUUCUCGUCCAACAAUGCUUGCAAUUCGCUGUCUUGAAACUUUUUCGGUGGUCUUCCACGUUCUUCGUUCCUCACGUCAAAAUUGCCACUUCUGAAUUUUUUAAACCACUCAAAGCACUGUGAUUUACCAAGAGCAUGCUCACCGUAAGCUUCGACAAGCAUUCGAUGCGAUUCUGCAGCAGUUUUCUUCAAAUGGUAACAGAAAAUCAAUGCUGUCCGUAAAUCGUAGUUUCCAGGCACAAAAUUCGACAUGUUCAAC